rnacentral:rRNA from 1 species
CUCUGUGACUCCUACGGGAGGCAGCAGUGGGAAUAUUGCACAAUGGGCGCAAGCCUGAUGCAGCAACGCCGUGUGAGUGAAGAAGGUUUUCGGAUCGUAAAACUCUGUCCUAAGGGAAGAAACAAAUGACGGUACCUUAGGAGGAAGCCCCGGCUAACUACCGUGCCAGCAGCCGCGGUAAUACGUAGGGGGCAAGCGUUAUCCGGAAUCACUGGGCGUAAAGGGUGCGUAGGCGGCUUAGCAAGCCAGGGGUGAAAGGCAUUGGCUCAACCAAUGUAAGCCUUUGGAACUGUUAAGCUUGAGUGCAGGAGAGGUAAGUGGAAUUCCUAGUGUAGAGGUGAAAUUCGUAGAUAUUAGGAGGAACACCAGUGGCGAAGGCGACUUACUGGACUGUAACUGACGCUGAUGCACGAAAGCGUGGGUAGCGAACAGGAUUAGAUACCCUGGUAG